AUAGCGUAUAUUAAAGUUGUUGCAGUUAAAAAGCUCGUAGUUGGAUUUCGGCGUGCGCUCGGGCUGGUCGGCCGUCAAGGUCUGUACCGUUCGGGUCACGCCCCACUGUAGGAUACUCACCGCUGUCCUUAACUGGGUGGCGGUCAAAGGGGGUGUGUAUGGGGGCAACUCUGUGCAUAUCUCUGGGGUUCCUACUCUUUUACUUUGAGCAAAUUAGAGUGUUCAAAGCAGGCAAUCGCGCCUUGAAUACUUCAGCAUGGGAUAAUGGAACAGGACUGGGGUCCUGAUUUCGUUGGUUUCUGGGAUCUCAGUAAUGAUUAAUAGGGAUAGUUGGGGGCAUUAGUAUUUAAUUGUCAGAGGUGAAAUUCUUGGAUUUAUGAAAGACUAACUUCUG
rnacentral:rRNA from 1 species